UUGUACUCUCACGUGUGAACCAGAAGCUUCCCACCUUUUUACUUUACCAUGGUUUAGGGUUUUCACUUUCUUCAGAGAGAGAAGAGAUUGUGGUCGGUCGUCCGGUCGGUCCCGUACGACUUCUACAAUGGUGGUUCUGAAGCCAGAAUUCAUUGUGCAAUCGAUUCCUUCUCACACACUUUUCAAACCCUAGGUUUAUUCACGCUAUCACAGCUCCGAUUAACCUUCACCGUUCCGAUCAUCUUCUCUGACGAAUGGAUACAUCUGCAUCUGCAACAUCUUCAUCAAACUCGCGGUACAUCGAGCAUCCGGGUAGCAUGUUGGUGAGGCAACAUCCAGAUGGCAUAGUGCUCACUUUGCAACUGUGUGUUUGCAGCGAUGGCGUAACCCGUUCUUAGAUGUGUUCAUCCCUCGAUUACAUAUCCGAGCUUUCAAGGUUCCAAUGCACAAACACAUUCACAUCUCGAUAACACUUUUUUUGGCAGUUGUCAUGUAAUAUCAAAUAUUGUAUCUACUUCUGGGCUAUGAUGAUGUGUUUUAGUUAAAGAAACUGAUACUUUAGUGUUUAUUGGCGUGGCAAAUGAGGUCUUUAACCUCUUAGUGUGCAGCCAACGCGAGUAAUUUUUGUUUCAUCAACAUGUUUGAGCCUACACUGUUGCUGGUGUGCAACAUGUGAUGGACCGCUUGACUCUUUAAUUGAAGAGAACUUAUGUUCUUCUGGCACGAUGAUUUCAACUAACAGUGGGGGAAGCAACAACUCAGAUUUGUUGCUCAACUUAUUAAUUGACUGAU
rnacentral:lncRNA from 1 species